rnacentral:rRNA from 1 species
GAUGAACGCUGGCGGCGUGCCUAAUACAUGCAAGUCGAGCGAACGGACGAGAAGCUUGCUUCUCUGAUGUUAGCGGCGGACGGGUGAGUAACACGUGGAUAACCUACCUAUAAGACUGGGAUAACUUCGGGAAACCGGAGCUAAUACCGGAUAAUAUUUUGAACCGCAUGGUUCAAAAGUGAGAGACGGUCUUGCUGUCACUUAUAGAUGGAUCCGCGCUGCAUUAGCUAGUUGGUAAGGUAACGGCUUACCAAGGCAACGAUGCAUAGCCGACCUGAGAGGGUGAUCGGCCACACUGGAACUGAGACACGGUCCAGACUCCUACGGGAGGCAGCAGUAGGGAAUCUUCCGCAAUGGGCGAAAGCCUGACGGAGCAACGCCGCGUGAGUGAUGAAGGUCUUCGGAUCGUAAAACUCUGUUAUUAGGGAAGAACAUAUGUGUAAGUAACUGUGCACAUCUUGGCGGUACCUAAUCAGAAAGCCACGGCUAACUACGUG